GAUGAAGAACGCAGCGAAACGCGAUAGGUAAUGUGAAUUGCAGAAUUCCGUGAAUCAUCGAAUCUUUGAACGCACAUUGCGCCCGCCAGCAUUCUGGCGGGCAUGCCUGUUCGAGCGUCAUUUCAACCCUCGAGCCCCCCCGGGGGCCUCGGUGUUGGGGGACGGCACACCAGCCGCCCCCGAAAUGCAGUGGCGACCCCGCCGCAGCCUCCCUUGCGUAGUAGCACACACCUCGCACCGGAGCGCGGAGGCGGUCACGCCGUAAAACGCCCAACUUUCUUAGAGUUGACCUCGGAUCAGGUAGGAAUACCCGCUGAACUUAAGCAUAUCAAUAAGCGGAGGA
rnacentral:misc_RNA from 1 species